rnacentral:rRNA from 1 species
GAUCAUGGAUCAGGAUGAGCGCUAGCUACAGGCUUAACACAUGCAAGUCGAGGGGCAGCAUGGUCUUAGCUUGCUAAGGCUGAUGGCGACCGGCGCACGGGUGAGUAACACGUAUCCAACCUGCCGUCUACUCUUGGACAGCCUUCUGAAAGGAAGAUUAAUACAAGAUGGCAUCAUGAGUCCGCAUGUUCACAUGAUUAAAGGUAUUCCGGUAGACGA